rnacentral:rRNA from 1 species
UACGUAGGGUGCAGGCGUUAAUCGGAAUUACUGGGCGUAAAGCGUGCGCAGGCGGUUUCUUAAGUCAGACGUGAAAUCCCUCGGCUCAACCGAGGAACUGCGUCUGAUACUGGAAGGCUUGAAUCCGGGAGAGGGAUGUGGAAUUCCAGGUGUAGCGGUGAAAUGCGUAGAUACCUGGAGGAACACCGGUGGCGAAGGCGGCAUCCUGGACCGGUAUUGACGCUGAGGCGCGAAAGCUAGGGGAGCAAACGGG